AACGAACGCUGGCGGCAUGCCUAACACAUGCAAGUCGAACGAUGCCUUCGGGCAUAGUGGCGCACGGGUGCGUAACGCGUGGGAAUCUGCCUUUCGGUUCGGAAUAACUCAGGGAAACUUGAGCUAAUACCGGAUAACGUCGCAAGACCAAAGAUUUAUCACCGAAAGAUGAGCCCGCGUAGGAUUAGCUAGUUGGUGAGGUAAAGGCUCACCAAGGCGACGAUCCUUAGCUGGUCUGAGAGGAUGGUCAGCCACACUGGGACUGAGACACGGCCCAGACUCCUACGGGAGGCAGCAGUGGGGAAUAUUGGACAAUGGGCGAAAGCCUGAUCCAGCAAUGCCGCGUGAGUGAUGAAGGCCUUAGGGUUGUAAAGCUCUUUUACCCGGGAAGAUAAUGACGGUACCGGGAGAAUAAGCCCCGGCUAACUCCGUG
rnacentral:rRNA from 1 species